GCAAGUCGAGCGAGAAAGCUUUCUUCGGAAAGUGAUUAAAGCGGCGAACUGGUGAGUAACAGGUGGGUCACGUGCCCUGAAGUUUGGAAUAACCCCGGGAAACCGGAGCUAAUACCAAAUGUGGUUCUUCGGAACUAAAGACUUCGGUCGCUUCAGGAUCGGCCCGUCCCCGAUUAGUUUGUUGGUGGGGUAACGGCCUACCAAGACGACGAUCGGUAGCUGGUCUGAGAGGAUGGUC
rnacentral:rRNA from 1 species